CCUACGGGCGGCUGCAGUCGAGAAUCUUCGGCAAUGGGCGCAAGCCUGACCGAGCGACGCCGCGUGCGGGAUGAAGGCCUUCGGGUUGUAAACCGCUGUCGAGGGGAAUGAAGUGCAGGUGGGUUCUCCCAUCUGUUUGACAGAUCCCUGGAGGAAGCAUGGGCUAAGUUCGUGCCAGCAGCCGCGGUAAGACGAACCAUGCAAACGUUUUUCGGAUUAGCUGGGGUUAAAGCGUGCGUAGGCGGUCUUGGAAAGCCCUCAGCACAACUGAGGAAUUGCGCUUGAUACUGCAUGACUAGAGAAUGAUAGAGGUGGGUGGAACGGAUGGUGGAGCGGUGAAAUGCGUUGAUAUCAUCAGGAACACCAGUGGCGAAGGCGACCCACUGGGUCAUUUCUGACGCUGAGGUACGAAAGCUAGGGUAGCGAACGGGAUUAGAUACCCCAGUAGUC
rnacentral:rRNA from 1 species